AAGUAGAUAAGGGCGCACGGGGGAUGCCUUGGCUCUUAGAGGCGAAGAAGGACGUGAUAAGCUGCGAUAAGCUGCGGGGAUCAGCACAUAUGACUUGAUCCGCAGAUUUCCGAAUGGGACAACCCAGCUAGUUGAAGACUAGUUAUUCCGCUUAUGCGGAAGGCGAACCCGGGGAACUGAAACAUCUAAGUACCCGGAGGAA
rnacentral:rRNA from 1 species